UUCACUACGUUAAUCCUGUACAAAACUACAGAUGACACUCUUAGUGGUCUUAAUAAUUUCAUGUAAACUGUUGACACUUAAAAUUGUCCAACCUCUGAAUUUCAUAGAGCUAAGAGUGUACGCUUAUCGUAGGUUUUAGAAAACUUACACUAAUUAUCAAUAUAACAGUAUUUUACAUUAUUGGAUCAGAAAGUAGCAAAAGAUUUACAUUACUUGAAUGUUCUAAAAUACUUUUCAGGCUCAGAAGGCAAAACAGAAAAACCCGAAGAUACGGAGUUUUGGAUAUGAACAUAGAAAACAUGGAGCUGACCCCAUUAGAACAAGAUGAUGAUGAUGAUGAUACAACACUAUUCGAUGCCAGCCAUCCUCGAAGUUGGAGAAGGGAUGUCAAGAUGACUUGAAUUUUAAAUGGGCAAGAAUUUAGUGGGCAAGAAGAUAAACACCAUUUGUCUUCAACAUGUGAGUUCCAGAGAAAUGAAGAGGAAGAGAAGUACGUGCCUUUCAAUGAAAGAACUUAAUCUUAGAACCAGAGAAGGAGACUGCUUCAUGGGAGAAAUAAGAAGCAAGAGGGUAUGCAAGUGGGGGGGGACUAAUUUAAUUUGUGUAUUUUAUGGCAUCCUUAAUAUCUUGCAAUAAGUAAUGUAUCAAUUUGUUGUAUCUUUUUGUAUAUAGAGAUUCUCAAUAUAUAGCCUACGGGGAGAGAGUACUAACUGUGAUAAGAUAAAAACCUAUUUAAAAUGGAGAUUACUUGUAAAACAGGGUAUUUUUUGCUUGUUAGAAGUCUUGUAUGCCAUUAAGCGUGGUAUACCCUUUUUUUCUACAGUAACCUGGAAUGUUAAUAUUUUCUUCUGAUAUUAAAUUGUAAUUAAAUAAAGCCACCGUGGAACUUCUCAGAAUUGUUAGAACAUGAUUUUAAUUGAGAAGAUAAUUUAUUGUUUACCAAUAAAAAGCUAAACUUA